rnacentral:rRNA from 2 species
GACGAACGCUGGCGGCGUGCCUAAUACAUGCAAGUCGAACGAACUCUGGUAUUGAUUGGUGCUUGCAUCAUGAUUUACAUUUGAGUGAGUGGCGAACUGGUGAGUAACACGUGGGAAACCUGCCCAGAAGCGGGGGAUAACACCUGGAAACAGAUGCUAAUACCGCAUAACAACUUGGACCGCAUGGUCCGAGUUUGAAAGAUGGCUUCGGCUAUCACUUUUGGAUGGUCCCGCGGCGUAUUAGCUAGAUGGUGGGGUAACGGCUCACCAUGGCAAUGAUACGUAGCCGACCUGAGAGGGUAAUCGGCCACAUUGGGACUGAGACACGGCCCAAACUCCUACGGGAGGCAGCAGUAGGGAAUCUUCCACAAUGGACGAAAGUCUGAUGAAGCAACGCCGCGUGAGUGAAGAAGGGUUUCGGCUCGUAAAACUCUGUUGUUAAAGAAGAACAUAUCUGAGAGUAACUGUUCAGGUAUUGACGGUAUUUAACCAGAAAGCCACGGCUAACUACGUGCCAGCAGCCGCGGUAAUACGUAGGUGGCAAGCGUUGUCCGGAUUUAUUGGGCGUAAAGCGAGCGCAGGCGGUUUUUUAAGUCUGAUGUGAAAGCCUUCGGCUCAACCGAAGAAGUGCAUCGGAAACUGGGAAACUUGAGUGCAGAAGAGGACAGUGGAACUCCAUGUGUAGCGGUGAAAUGCGUAGAUAUAUGGAAGAACACCAGUGGCGAAGGCGGCUGUCUGGUCUGUAACUGACGCUGAGGCUCGAAAGUAUGGGUAGCAAACAGGAUUAGAUACCCUGGUAGUCCAUACCGUAAACGAUGAAUGCUAAGUGUUGGAGGGUUUCCGCCCUUCAGUGCUGCAGCUAACGCAUUAAGCAUUCCGCCUGGGGAGUACGGCCGCAAGGCUGAAACUCACAGGAAUUGACGGGGGCCCGCACAAGCGGUGGAGCAUGUGGUUUAAUUCGAAGCUACGCGAAGAACCUUACCAGGUCUUGACAUACUAUGCAAAUCUAAGAGAUUAGACGUUCCCUUCGGGGACAUGGAUACAGGUGGUGCAUGGUUGUCGUCAGCUCGUGUCGUGAGAUGUUGGGUUAAGUCCCGCAACGAGCGCAACCCUUAUUAUCAGUUGCCAGCAUUAAGUUGGGCACUCUGGUGAGACUGCCGGUGACAAACCGGAGGAAGGUGGGGAUGACGUCAAAUCAUCAUGCCCCUUAUGACCUGGGCUACACACGUGCUACAAUGGAUGGUACAACGAGUUGCGAACUCGCGAGAGUAAGCUAAUCUCUUAAAGCCAUUCUCAGUUCGGAUUGUAGGCUGCAACUCGCCUACAUGAAGUCGGAAUCGCUAGUAAUCGCGGAUCAGCAUGCCGCGGUGAAUACGUUCCCGGGCCUUGUACACACCGCCCGUCACACCAUGAGAGUUUGUAACACCCAAAGUCGGUGGGGUAACCUUUUAGGAACCAGCCGCCUAAGGUGGGACAGAUGAUUAGGGUG